rnacentral:rRNA from 1 species
GACGAACGCUGGCGGCGUGCUUAACACAUGCAAGUCGAACGGAAAGGCCCGGCUUUUGUGGGGUGCUCGAGUGGCGAACGGGUGAGUAACACGUGAGUAACCUGCCCUUGCCUUUGGGAUAACUUCAGGAAACUGGGGCUAAUACCGGAUAGGAGCUCUUGCUGCAGGGUGGGGGUUGGAAGGUUUCGGCGGUUGGGGAUGGACUCGCGGCUUAUCAGAUUGUUGGUGGGGUAGUGGCUUACCAAGGCUUUGACGGGUAGCCGGCCUGAGAGGGUGACCGGCCACAUUGGGACUGAGAUACGGCCCAGACUACUACGGGAGGCAGCAGUGGGGAAUAUUGCACAAGGGGCGGAAGCCUGAUGCAGCAACGCCGCGUGCGGGAUGACGGCCUUCGGGUUGUAAACCGCUUUCGCCUGUGACGAAGCGUGAGUGACGGUAAUGGGUAAAGAAGCACCGGCUAACUACGUG